CUGCAGCCCGAGUGGUGAUCGAUUUUAUUGAGCCUAAAGCGUCCGUAGCCGGACUAGUAAACCCUUGGGUAAAUUGGGCAGCUUAACUGUCCAAAUUCCGAGGGGACUGCUAGUCUUGGGACCGGGAGAGGUCAGAGGUACUCAAGGGGUAGGGGCUAAAUCCUGUAAUCCUUUGGGGACCACCAGUGGCGAAGGCGUCUGACUAGAACGGAUCCGACGGUAAGGGUCGAAACCCUGGGGCGCGAACCGGAUUAGAUACCCGAGUAGUCC
rnacentral:rRNA from 1 species